AUGCAAGCUAUGACGAGAAUGAGUAGGUAAGUAAUUGCUAUUAAGAGAGGAAGUGGGAGGUGUAAACUUCUUAGCAAUACUACUGAAGCUAUCUUAGAGCUAUAUUUUACUAAGUGAUGUAUUUUGAUUUAUACAUAAUUAGGGUGGUACCGCGGAAUUUUAAGCUUUCGUCCCUUAU
rnacentral:ncRNA from 1 species